rnacentral:snRNA from 1 species
AUCCAGAGCUGGAUACAUGGU